AAAAAAAAUACAAAAAAGAAAACGGACGAAAUAAAGAAAGAAAACGCCAAAACAGAAAGAGAAAAAACUUGCAUGAUCGUCGUCUUCUUCAUGAAGACAUUUUCAAGCUAAAAUCACCAAAAAACUCCAAAGCUGCCAUCUCCUUAUCCCUUUUCCCUUUGUCGUGCUAUAUGGUGAAGUCUCCGGAGGUCACUGAUUUCCAUUGAAUCUGGCGACCCUCCGCUUGAACUCGGAGAACACUGCUAUCAGGUCGCUCUUGUCGCUUCCCCUUUCUCUCUUGUUUUUCACUGUUACGUUGCCGGAAGGGACGAGAUCCGACAACCUCAAUUGUCUCUACUGAUUUUCUGUUUGAGUGCUCAUUUGGUUGGUUCAGCCGGAUUUCAUCACCGGAGAGUCUUCAUUUUGCCUAAAAAUAGUCCGCUCCGGCCUUUGUUAACUUAUUUGAAGUUCAAAUUCGUUUUCUGCGAAAAUCCAAGGUUGCCAUUCGUUGAUCCCGACCGAGGUGUCGUCCAUUGUUUCCGGCCAAGCUUAUCAAGGUCUAAUUCUAACUCUUUGUUCAUUCAUGUCGAAGUUAUUUGAGUGAACUCGUUUUAAUUUCAUGCUCACGUUUGCUAAAGAUAUGGUGUUGUUUUCGAGCCUUUUGGAUUACAUGCUACAUUGGUGUUAUUUGGUUCAGUGAUUUCUCAAGUUCUGUGAUGGAUCCUUCGAUCACUACUGACUUGAGUCAUUUUUCUCAUUAAUUGUGUGUUGCAAAGAUAGUGAAACAAAUAAGCAGUUGAGUGCUUUUCCAAAGAUUUUGAGUCUUGUUUGGUACUUUUUGUCAAGAACGAAUUACCUAUAAUUACUAAAUAUUUAGCCUUUUUUCGAUAACUUGAUUUGCUUAUCUUUUAACGUACUAAGUUUGUGC
rnacentral:lncRNA from 1 species